UACGGAGGGGGUUAGCGUUGUUCGGAAUUACUGGGCGUAAAGCGCGCGUAGGCGGAUUAGAAAGUUGGGGGCGAAAUCCCGGGGCUCAACCCCGGAACUGCCUCCAAAACUACUAGUCUAGAGUUCGAGAGAGGUGAGUGGAAUUCCGAGUGUAGAGGUGAAAUUCGUAGAUAUUCGGAGGAACACCAGUGGCGAAGGCGGCUCACUGGCUCGAUACUGACGCUGAGGUGCGAAAGUGUGGGGGGCAAACAGG
rnacentral:rRNA from 1 species